UCGGCAAUUCAGACUGACAUGA
rnacentral:miRNA from 1 species